GGACUACCCGGGUAUCUAAUCCCUUUUGCUCCCCUAGCUUUCGUCCCUCAGUGUCAGUACAGGCCCAGUAGCGCGCUUUCGCCACCGAUGUUCUUCCCAAUAUCUACGCAUUUCACCGCUACACUGGGAAUUCCCGCUACCCCUACCGUACUCUAGCGACGCAGUUUCCACCGCCUUUAUGGAGUUAAGCUCCAUUCUUUGACAGCAGACUUGCUUCGCCACCUACGGACGCUUUACGCCCAAUGAUUCCGGAUAACGCUUGCAUCCUCCGUAUUACCGCGGCUGCUGGCAC
rnacentral:misc_RNA from 1 species